GCACCAGUAGAGUAGUAGUUAACUCAUUUCCCUCCCAAGGAAAGGACCCGGGUGCAAAUCCCGGCUGGUGCA
rnacentral:tRNA from 1 species